ACCAAUAUGUUAAAAACCCACUGACCAAUGUCCACCUUCCCACUUUCUCACGAAAACAUAACCUAUUUUCCCCUAUCUGAUUUCUCUCUUAUCUCUCGUUCUUAACCUCCAUGAUCCAUAUUCUACAUCUCAACUCUCCUCCAAUAGCUGAAUCAAUCCUCUCUUGUAUCGGAAAGUUUCUUCACUUUAACAAUAAUUCGGAACAAUCAGGGGUUAAAUUUUUUUAUUGUGCGUUCAUUUGGACUAAGUUGAAGCAAUCACUUAUUCCGGGCAUUUUUGUUGAGGUCCAGAAACGAAAAAUGGUAUGAGGGAUCUCAGAUAUAAGGGCUUCUUCAUUUUUUGCAAGAGGUGUGGUAGAAAUAGAAUAGGCCAUAAAAAAAACUUUUCUUGCACCACUUCGUGGGAAAAGACAAAAUCUUUGAUUGACAAAACCAUUACUCAGGCUUGUAAUUCAGAUGUCUCGGUUAUGUUUUAAAUUCAAAUGUCUCUCUAUACUCAAAUAGGCUGGUCGGUUUUGGUUUGAAGUCUCGGUUAUGAUUCAGUUCGAUUGGAUGAACCUCGAAUCCCCCGACCCCUGUGUGUCAAAUUCGCGAUGCCCAGUUGAAGAUUAUCGAGCGUCGUCGUGAUUCGAAUCAUGAUAAAGUGCUGGAGCAUCUGUUGGCUAAUUGAAUUAGGAACACAUUUUUGAGGCAAUGUAUUUGAUUUCAUAUUGCUUCACAGGUAACUAUAUUCAAGCAGCGUGCUAGUAGAUUGGCAUCCCUCAAUGCAAAGCUGAUUGGUUGUUUUCUCACUUCCAGAUUUUAAAAAAAAAUUGAAACUCUAUAUGUUAUUUUUCUUUCUGGCUAAAGUGAAGCUAUCCUUUUGUUUUGUAUCUGGGUUAAGGAUGAAGAGAACCUUUGAUUAAAAUUCAGUCUUCUAAUAAGAUUCUGAAACUUUGUAUGUUCAGUAGUAUAUUUUUAGGAUACAUUCGCUUGAUCUCCUGUAUUCAGUAGUUUUUUCCCCUCCUUUUCAAGGACUUAAAUUUUUGAACUUUGGUAGUUUGACGAGAGUUUUAGAUUGACAACAGUAAUUUCAACUAUGGCCUGUAUCCUUAAGGUAUCCUCUACCUUUGUGCUAGUUAGUAAUCUCUCCUGUAUGUUCCUUUUGUUUUUUUAGGAGUUCUUUCGGAAUUUUUUUGUUUUGGUUUUCAGAUUGUUUUGUUUUGGUUUUCAGAUUUGUGAGGAGUUGUUUCAGAUUGUUAUUUGUCAUUUCUUUUAAGUUUGUUGUAUUUUUUGGUAAUUAUUGUAAGACUAUGAUGUUUAUUGAAUAUAUGAAUUUGAUGGAUAGUUUAUUGGA